ACUGACCGAGACUCAAUAAACGCCAAACCACAUAUGCACUGACUGAAUUCCCUCAUACAGUAUCCUCGGACAAAUUCAUUGAUAUGGAUAUAAGGUUUAUAAGGGAUAACAGGGUUUGUGGCACAACACUUGCGCUGGCGGAACACCUGCUCUGAUACUGUACGGAACAGUUCCAGUCGUUCAUAACACCGCCGCCGUAGUACACCUCUCGGGUGUUAUCUCCUUCAGAGUGCAGUGCGAAUCAUAAGCUUUCUACAUGUGUGUGUAGAAGGCAAAAAGGCAUUAUACGUGGGCCGAAUGAUGGGACCAUGGUCAAGGCAUCCUCGAAAACCGCUGGCAAUACUAGUUGUGGUUUGGCUCCUCUUGACGAUCCGACUCAACGUCUACAUUCCUUCGGUCAAGAUUCCGGACGACGCACUGACGACCGGAGACUCCAGAUUCGACGAAUACAUCCAAGAAAGGUCUCCCAGAAGGGAUUUACAUAACAGCCCAAGGAUUGAAGAUCUCACACUAAUACAUAGGGAUAACGAGGCAAAAU